rnacentral:rRNA from 1 species
GGUCCGCACAAGCGGUGGAGCAUGUGGUUUAAUUCGAUGCAACGCGAAGAACCUUACCAGGGUUUGACAUAGUACGAAGUUUUUUGAAAAAAAACCACCUUCGGGAACGUACAUACAGGUGGUGCAUGGCUGUCGUCAGCUCGUGUCGUGAGAUGUUGGGUUAAGUCCCGCAACGAGCGUAACCCUUGUUUUUAGUUGCCUUUCGAGGAUAUUUAGAAAGACUGCCGAUUAUAAAUCGGAGGAAGGUAAGGACGACGUCAAGUCAUCAUGCCCCUUACACUCUGGGCUACACACGUGCUACAUUGGGUAGAACAAUAAGUUGCUAAGUUGCGAAACCAAGCG